rnacentral:rRNA from 1 species
UUCGACACACUAUCAUUAACUGAAUCCAUAGGUUAAUGAGGCGAACCGGGGGAACUGAAACAUCUAAGUACCCCGAGGAAAAGAAAUCAACCGAGAUUCCCCCAGUAGCGGCGAGCGAACGGGGAGGAGCCCAGAGCCUGAAUCAGUGUGUGUGUUAGUGGAAGCGUCUGGAAAGGCGCGCGAUACAGGGUGACAGCCCCGUACACAAAAAUGCACAUACUGUGAGCUCGAUGAGUAGGGCGGGACACGUGGUAUCCUGUCUGAAUAUGGGGGGACCAUCCUCCAAGGCUAAAUACUCCUGACUGACCGAUAGUGAACCAGUACCGUGAGGGAAAGGCGAAAAGAACCCCGGCGAGGGGAGUGAAAAAGAACCUGAAACCGUGUACGUACAAGCAGUGGGAGCCUCUUAAUGGGGUGACUGCGUACCUUUUGUAUAAUGGGUCAGCGACUUAUAUUCUGUAGCAAGGUUAACCGAAUAGGGGAGCCGAAGGGAAACCGAGUCUUAACUGGGCGUUAAGUUGCAGGGUAUAGACCCGAAACCCGGUGAUCUAGCCAUGGGCAGGUUGAAGGUUGGGUAACACUAACUGGAGGACCGAACC